GAAAGAUACCUUGCGGCGGGCUUUAAUUAUAAAUAGUGUACACAGUGAUAUGGUCGCCUUCUAGUUUCCCGCUAGGAGAAGUUUCCCAUAGCUCAGUUGGUGGAGCAACGGACCAUAAACCUGGAGGACGUGGGUUCGAUUACAGGUGGGAGGACAGUACUCUCAUUCCUUUGACAAUAUAACGAAGAGGGAAUGCCUCUCCUCACGGAGCUGCUAAUCAGUCAAGAGAACAUGAAUUGGACAUCUGCUGGAGAAUACUGUGAGGAAAGGAAUGACCGUCUGAUCGUUCUAGAUAGUCAGGAAAAGUGGAACUACUUUACGUCUCACGAUCAAUAUCAGGAAAAUCAUCUGUACAGCGGAGCAUACUGGACUGGCAUGAGAUUCAAUAACUCCUUUAAAUGUGACACGACUAAGGACCAUAUCCCAUGGUUGUAUACCGGCUGGGGUAGAUGGGUCAAUAACAACAAUGAACCUAACGGGUGCCCUAAUCAACAGUGUGUCAGAUUGCAUUACAACAUGAUGCGUACGACUGUGUGCCACAGAGUAUACAAAGCUAUAUGUGAAAGAGGUAAAUUGUUUUGUUACCAUCGCAUGCUGACCUCCGUGCGAACUAAUUCGUAUAGUGACAUAUUUGUCUAAACAUUUCAACUGUAACAUUGAAUACGAUUGUAUUUCUAUUCUCUAUGUUUUACUUUCCGUAUCGUUUAAUCGGGGUAGGCACAUACAUUCCUUUAGCGUUAUUGGUGUUGGGCUAAUAUUACGUAUUUUUUAAGUGCGCAUCACGAGUGAAACAUGUCAAAAUAUUGUAAUACAUACUGUAUGAAAUAUAUGUGUUAUUACUUUAAGAUACUGUUAGAUAUUCUGUUUAUUACAGGAACACCUUUUAUCUUACCCAGUGUCGUUCGUAAGAAGAGUUUUGAUUGGUCCAAUAUUGUAAGGUAUAUUGCGUACAUGGAUAUGAAGAAUGCAUAACUAGUUAUGAGGUACAGUGAUUUUGUUAACAAAAUUAUACGUGAAACAUAAUUCAAGUAUGGCCACAAUCUUGAACCUCAAAAUGUUACCAGAAGUACCAAUACCCAACACACAAACACUGUGAAUCAAAAUAAUUGUAAAGAAUAAUAUGGAUUUACCGUCCACAAAUCCAAAUGAAAGUAAACUUCAGGGUAUUUUAAAAGAAAAUAUUAAUAAAGGAGUGUUGUAUGGUUUACUAUUGUACUUUAAAUCUUUCCGUCUUACAUUGUCAUGUAAUAAAAUUCUACAAUUAUUACCUUUCUCUACUUUUAUUGUUUAUUAUUAUAUUAAUACAGUGAUAUAUGGAUAUGUUGAAGACGACGGGACCAAGUAAAAUUAUCGACUUAUCCAGUGGUUUGACUUGCAGCGGUUUUUUUAUGAAAAUGCAAUGACAUAAAUGACCCAAAUUUAUCGGUUGUAUUCAGCAUUUGAGCACGAGUGUCAGGAAAACACAGACAACUAACAUUGCUGGUAUCUUCACAUGUAUGAUUAUUUCAAGGAUGUAAUAUUGGCAGGUAUUUAAAUAAACGAAAAUGUAGUUCCCGUGAAAGUUGGCAGCUAUA